rnacentral:rRNA from 1 species
GACGAACGCUGGCGGCGUGCUUAACACAUGCAAGUCGAACGGAAAGGCCCUGCUUUUGUGGGGUGCUCGAGUGGCGAACGGGUGAGUAACACGUGAGUAACCUGCCCUUGACUUUGGGAUAACUUCAGGUAACUGGGGCUAAUACCGGAUAGGAGCUCCUGCUGCAUGGUGGGGGUUGGAAAGUUUCGGCGGUUGGGGAUGGACUCGCGGCUUAUCAGCUUGUUGGUGGGGUAGUGGCUUACCAAGGCUUUGACGGGUAGCCGGCCUUAGAGGGUGACCGGCCACAAUGGGACUGAGAUACGGCCCAGACUCCUACGGGAGGCAGCAGUGGGGAAUAUGACACAAUGGGCGGAAGCCUGAUGCAGCAACGCCGCGUGCGGGAUGACGGCCUUCGAGUUGUAAACCGCUUUCGCCUGUGACGAAGCGUGAGUGACGGUAAUGGGUAAAGAAGCACCGGCUAACUACGUG